CCUACGGGGGGCUGCAGUGAGGAAUAUUGGUCAAUGGACGAGAGUCUGAACCAGCCAAGUAGCGUGAAGGAUGACUGCCCUAUGGGUUGUAAACUUCUUUUAUAUGGGAAUAAAACGUUCCACGUGUGGGAUUUUGUAUGUACCAUAUGAAUAAGGAUCGGCUAACUCCGUGCCAGCAGCCGCGGUAAUACGGAGGAUCCGAGCGUUAUCCGGAUUUAUUGGGUUUAAAGGGAGCGUAGGUGGAUUGUUAAGUCAGUUGUGAAAGUUUGCGGCUCAACCGUAACAUUGCAGUUGAAACUGGCAGUCUUGAGUACAGUAGAGGUGGGCGGAAUUCGUGGUGUAGCGGUGAAAUGCUUAGAUAUCACGAAGAACUCCGAUUGCGAAGGCAGUUCACUGGACUGCAACUGACACUGAGGCUCGAAAGUGUGGGUAUCAAACAGGAUUAGAUACCCUAGUAGUC
rnacentral:rRNA from 1 species